rnacentral:rRNA from 1 species
CGGGUUUGAACGUAGGGAGACAGGGGUGGAAACAUCCUUUUCAGCAAUGACUGCCUACGAGGUGCUGCAUGGUUGUCGUCAGCUCGUGCCGUGAGGUGUCGGCUUAAGUGCCAUAACGAGCGCAACCCUUAUUUCCAGUUACUAACAGGUGAUGCUGAGGACUCUGGAGAGACUGCCAGCGUAAGCUGUGAGGAAGGUGGGGAUGACGUCAAAUCAGCACGGCCCUUACAUCCGGGGCG